rnacentral:lncRNA from 1 species
CCACAACAGACUCCCUGGAGCCUGAGUCUGAGUGCAGACCGGAUCUUCUGCUCUGAACUCGGAUUCGGGACAUGGAUUCGUCAGUGAAAUUCACAAGUGCUGAGGGUGUGGAUCAAUGUGCUCCCAACACCCUUGGAUGUCCGUCUGACCUCACCGCGGUCACCAUGGCGGCACCGCUCAGCCCCGAUGCAGGGGCUGACAUGAGUGUGGUGGAAUUUGAUGAGAACAUGAGCUCUAGGAUGGGAGAGUGUGAACUGCGAUUUGAAGACUGCAGAUCAAAUUCUGUUAGACCUGGAGUAGCUCUCGGCUCCCCGGACCACAAGGAGCCGAAACGUGGGGCCGAGAGGUCCAUAGAUGACGUUGACUCUCUGUUGGGGGAGAGGCUGCACCCCGAGGAGCAGGAACUGCCUGCACAACUGCCCCUGGCCGAGCAGCUGAGGAGUCUGUCCAAAUAUGUGCCUGAGUUCUGCUUAGGGGACCCCGGGAUCUCCUCACAAAACCUGUAUCAGGGCCCCUGUGAGUGCCCCACGCCUCUCUACAGCUCACAUGGCUGCUUCUCGUCCUCCUGGGCUGUCGGUGCUCCUCAUCCGGAAGCAGGAACGGGGGCUCUCGGAGUUAAGCCAUAAGCUGAAAGAAAGGAGAGAAGUGUCACUGCUGCUGAAGGAGCGUCUGGAGGUCCUCCCGAGCAGAGAUCACGCUGACAGCAACAAGGGCUGUGGCCACUAACAGGGUCCACCUGAGGGCUGCAGGCUGGGUGAGGAGCUGGCCCACAACCUCAACCCAUAUGGGGAGGCCUGAGGCCCUAAUUAAGUUGAGCUGCUUUAACGUCCCCAGCUCACGGGACACUGCACUCUCAGAGUGACUUGUUUGGCAACUGUCCUGGUGCCUGUGUCACACUUAGAGCUGUGGCAAAUUCAGGAGUGCCCACGAGGCAAUGCAGGGGAGGAAUACACAGUGUGGACAUCACAGCAUCGCAGCGUCCUUUGUCCCUGAUGGAACCUGGGCUCUGUCCUGAGGGGACCACAUCCAUCGAGUCUGAAAGCUGAGAUCAGGCUGUGGUCGGAGGCAGCCCAUUAGAGUAAAAAUCAUUCUGCUCUAAACAUGAAGUUUCCCAAACCCCAGCCUGAGUGUUUCUCACUAACUGUGUGUGACUGAUCACUUCAUCUCUCCUGAAUUCCCGUCAGAAGAAAGCUCUCGUGGUCUUGGUCACCAUCCUAUGCAGGAAGAGAGCCGUCGUGAAUGCACUUGGGAAAGCUAAGGCCCUCACCCUUUGGGGCUGGUUCAGGCCCUCGGUCCUGUAGGACCGGAGAGGCUUCAGCACCUCCCUCAGAGAGACUUUCCUGGUCCUGACGGCCCGGCCACUGCCUUUCCUUCGCUGUGAGCGAGGAGCCAUAGUACUGGUUACUGGUAACUGAGGACCGCAGUGUCCCUUAGGUUUCCUGUCUGUGCUGUGCUUCCUGUGGGUUUGGGAAGAUGUGUACUGACACGGUCCCAUUCCGGUGUCACGCAGAAUAGUUCCCUGGCCUAAACGUCCACUGUGUCAGUCCGGGCAUCCCUCCCUCUGCCCCUCCCCGAGAGCCCCAACAACCAGGUCUCCGUGUAUCCUCCCUGAUGUGGUUUGCAGUGAUUUCCUCCAUUGUGUGGCUCCCAUCUGAGUGAUCUCAAGAGCAGAGGUCAGUUUUCUCAGUGUGUGACUUACACGUUGUUUCUUUCAUGGACUGUGCCCUUCUGUGCUGGCUAAGAGAUGCUGCAAUCCAGGUCACAUAGAUUUUCUUCUGUGUUGUCUUUUCUCUUGGGAAAAGCUUUUGUUUUUCCCUUGACAUCUGUCAUCCAUUCUGAUUUAAUUCCUGUGAAACUGUAAGGUCUCUGUCUGGAGCUGUGUGUGUGUGUCCAGUGCCUGUGCACUUGUUCCGUUUCUCUCAUUACAGACUCUGCUUUCUGCGUGAGUGGCCCCGGCUCCUUCACGAGCUCCGUCAGUGAGGGCUGAUCCUGGGCUCCGUUCUCAGGAGCUGAGGAGCGGUGCCUGUUCUCCCAGCCCCUGCCCAGUCAGAGCUUUGGCUUUGGCAUCUGUCCUUCUUCUGUUUGUUCUUUUAGGUCCUCUGACUCCAAAUAAACUUGAGAAUCUAUCUGAUGUCUUCAGAGUUGUCUGCUGGUUUUACAUUGUCACUGCUUGGAACUGCUAGAUGGAGAACUGGAAAACUUUCAGGCUGACAGUCCUGAGCCUAACGCACAUAUGUGGAUGAUGUCUGCAUUGAUGUAGCUCCAAUCUUGUCCUUAUGCAUGUUUUGCUAAGUUUGCACAUUAGAACUUCAUUCAAUUUGCUACUAUUUGUCGCUGGCACUGUGUUUCAGUUCAAAUUCCACAUAUUCGUUCCUUGCAUGCGUUAGAGGGCAAUGGAUUGGUGCUGCCUGUGGAGCCUGAAUUCUUGCUAUAGUUUCUUCUAUUCCCAGCAAGUGUUUGUUGUUGAUAUUGUUUUUUUAUUUUAAAGUUUUUAAAAGAUAGAUAGUCAUGUUCUUUUCAGUGCUACAGAAUGCUCUACAUUUGAGUUCUGACACCAGCUAGGUACUUAAUUUUGUUUCUUUCAAUGUUUGUUUUUUAAUUUAAACACUUUUGUUCCCUCUUCCUUUUGCAUUCAGUGUUUGGAGAUUUCUGUUGAUAUUUUUGAGGUGAUAUGUUUUUUCCAAGUCAUAGCUAGUGUGUUCUGAUCUGGGCAAGGCCUUCUGCUCUUCUGCUGUGCUUGGUUUGUAUCAGUGGCUCCUCUGUCCACUGCCUCCCUUUCCCAUGGAACUCUGGGUCUGUUCUGUGCACUGCAGUGUUGACUUGUGCUGAAAACGCUAAAGGUCUGCUUGGUCUGCUCUCCCUGCAAACACUGUCCUCUGCAGUUUAGUCAUUUUCCAAAUGUUUCUUGGAAGCCCGUCAUGAGCAGCUGCGUGACGUGACUGGAGGCUGAUCCAGGGUCCAUGGAGGGUCUGUGUUUCUCUUCUAGGGUUGGAGCUGUAGUUCCCACAGAUGAAAGUCUCCUGUGCUCCCCUUGUUCCUGUCUACUCCAGUGUCUUGCGUUCUCUCCCUCUCUCCUUCUGUCUCUAUUUUUUGUUUUUUGAGACAGGAUUUUGCUAUGCAGUACAGGCUGGCCUUGAGCUCCCAGUGGUCAUCCUGCCUCAGCCUCCAGAGUCCUGUGAUUACAGGCAUGGACCAGCACACCCAGCCCUUGGCAUCCCCUUGAUGGCUCUGCUAAAAGUCUGUGCCUGUGGUUCUUCGGAGUCGCUGCUCUGCUCCCACACAAGGGCGGUGCAGCUGGGCAGGCAGGUGUGGAAGGAGAGGAAGCAGGGCACAGGCCUGGGAUGCAGUCUCCGGGUCUCCUGAGCCGGAGCCCAGGGCUGUCACCUUCCCGGCAGCAUGUCAGUGUGCCUGCCCCCUCUGCCCUCUGCACAGCAGCCUGAGUUUCCCCUGUGUCCAUGAAGUAUGAGCAGGCGCACGGAUGUUGAGGUAAUGGAAUGCUCGCGUGUUGCCUCAGAAGAGGAGACCUCAUGCCCGCUCCUAACCCUGAGCAGAUAUUUCCAUUUCUGUGCCAGGGAAGGAUGGUGUCUGUGAUGGGGGACGGUAGCCUCUCAGUGCCUGGCUGCUCAUUUGUGAAUUUGCUUAGAUUCCAGAGAAUUUGCAGAAAUUCCAGAGGCGGAGAACAGCUUUACACUGGAAAGGCUCCUUGGGAUGGACUCAGAGAAAUCCCUGGCAAUGUCCCAAUCACUGUGCAACCACCCGUGUACACUCGGCUACUUUUCCUCAUUGCUCAGCACAUGCUGUGUUGUCAUGUAUGACCAGGCCCGAAAGCUGACUUCCCGUUGUGAGUUCUGCGCUCCCUUCUCCCUGGGCAUUUCAGGUUCAUCAUUAAAGAGCUGAGCUUCAAUUCAAAGCCUGUAGAGCAGUUUCAGAGGUGGAGAUCCAUCCUGUUUGAACUGCGCCAGACUCUGAUGGACCUGCUGAACCAGGGUGGGCCUGCGUGUCACCUGGAGCAGAGCCACCAAAAACACCAUGCAGAGUGGUGCAAGCAGGUCCAGAACCUCCUCCUCCAGCUGGGCCUAGGUGAGGCGGCCGCAGGCUGAUCUGCCUUGAUUUCUGUUUGCUCAUCUCACAUGUCUCA